AGAGUUUGAUCAUGGCUCAGAUUGAACGCUGGCGGUAGGCUUAACACAUGCAAGUCGAGCGAGAAAGUAUCUUCGGAUAUGAGUAGAGCGGCGGACGGGUGAGUAACGCGUAGGAAUCUACCUAGUAGAAGGGGAUAGCCCGGGGAAACUCGGAUUAAUACCGUAUACCUCCUAAGGGAGAAAGAGGGCCUCUCUUGAUGCUCUCGCUAUUAGAUGAGCCUGCGUAAGAUUAGCUUGUUGGUAAGGUAAUGGCUUACCAAGGCUACGAUCUUUAGCUGGUCUGAGAGGACGAUCAGCCACAUUGGGACUGAGACACGGCCCAGACUCCUACGGGAGGCAGCAGUGGGGAAUAUUGGACAAUGGGCGCAAGCCUGAUCCAGCCAUACCGCGUGUGUGAAGAAGGCCUUCGGGUUGUAAAGCACUUUAAGCAGGGAGAAAAAGUUAUAAGUUAAUACCUUAUAACCGUGAUGUUACCUGCAGAAUAAGCACCGGCUAAUUCCGUGCCAGCAGCCGCGGUAAUACGGAAGGUGCAAGCGUUAAUCGGAAUUACUGGGCGUAAAGCGCGCGUAGGUGGUUUGUUAAGUUGGAUGUGAAAGCCCUGGGCUCAACCUAGGAACUGCAUCCAAAACUAACUCACUAGAGUACGAUAGAGGGAGGUAGAAUUCAUAGUGUAGCGGUGGAAUGCGUAGAUAUUAUGAAGAAUACCAGUGGCGAAGGCGGCCUCCUGGAUCUGUACUGACACUGAGGUGCGAAAGCGUGGGUAGCGAACAGGAUUAGAUACCCUGGUAGUCCACGCCGUAAACGAUGACAACUAGCUGUUGGGAGACAAUGUCUUUCAGUGGCGCAGCUAACGUUUUAAGUUGUCCGCCUGGGGAGUACGGCCGCAAGGCUAAAACUCAAAUGAAUUGACGGGGACCCGCACAAGCGGUGGAGCAUGUGGUUUAAUUCGAUGCAACGCGAAAAACCUUACCUACUCUUGACAUACUUGGAAGCUCUUGUAAUGAGAUUGUGCCUUUUGGAGCCAAGAUACAGGUGCUGCAUGGCUGUCGUCAGCUCGUGUCGUGAGAUGUUCCGUUAAGUCGGAUAACGAGCGCAACCCUUACCCUUAUUUGCCAGCGAUUCGGUCGGGAACUAUAAGGGGACUGCCGGUGAUAAACCGGAGGAAG
rnacentral:rRNA from 1 species